GCCAGUGUGGUGUAAUGGUUUGACAUUGGACUUUGACUUUGGAAUGCAGGGUUCUAAUCCCUGCUUAGCCA